rnacentral:tRNA from 1 species
UGGUAAGUAGUUUAAGCAAAACAAAUGAUUUCGACUCAUUAGAUUAUGGUCACCAUACUAGCCAA